rnacentral:rRNA from 1 species
UACAGAGGUCUCGAGCGUUUGUUCGGAUUCAUUGGGCGUAAAGGGUGCGUAGGUGGCGCCGUAAGUCGGGUGUGAAAUUUCGGAGCUUAACUCCGAAACUGCAUUCGAUACGGGCAGGCUAGAGUUCGGUAGGGGAGACUGGAAUUCCUGGUGUAGCGGUGAAAUGCGCAGAUAUCAGGAGGAACACCGGUGGCGAAGGCGGGUCUCUGGGCCGGAUACUGACGCUGGAGGACGAAAGACGUGGGGGAGCGAAACAGGG